GAUGAACGCUGGCGGCGUGCCUAAUACAUGCAAGUCGAGCGAACAGACGAGGAGCUUGCUCCUCUGACGUUAGCGGCGGACGGGUGAGUAACACGUGGAUAACCUACCUAUAAGACUGGGAUAACUUCGGGAAACCGGAGCUAAUACCGGAUAAUAUAUUGAACCGCAUGGUUCAAUAGUGAAAGACGGUUUUGCUGUCACUUAUAGAUGGAUCCGCGCCGCAUUAGCUAGUUGGUAAGGUAACGGCUUACCAAGGCAACGACGCGUAGCCGACCUGAGAGGGUGAUCGGCCACACUGGAACUGAGACACGGUCCAGACUCCUACGGGAGGCAGCAGUAGGGAAUCUUCCGCAAUGGGCGAAAGCCUGACGGAGCAACGCCGCGUGAGUGAUGAAGGUCUUCGGAUCGUAAAACUCUGUUAUUAGGGAAGAACAAAUGUGUAAGUAACGAUGCACGUCUUGACGGUACCUAAUCAGAAAGCCACGGCUAACUACGU
rnacentral:rRNA from 1 species